GCAUCGGUGGUUUAGUGGUAAAAUUAGCCGUUGCCAUUGAUCAGGAAUUCCACCUGAUUAAUAGAUUCGGCUAGCCCCGGGUUCGAUUCCCGGCCGAUGCA